rnacentral:rRNA from 1 species
GAUGAACGCUGGCGGCGUGCUUAACACGUGCAAGUCGAACGGAAAGGCCCAAGCUUGCUUGGGUACUCGAGUGGCGAACGGGUGAGUAACACGUGGGUGAUCUGCCCUGCACUUCGGGAUAAGCCUGGGAAACUGGGUCUAAUACCGGAUAGGACCACAUUUUGGAUGGUGUGGUGGAAAGUUUUUCGGUGUGGGAUGAGCUCGCGGCCUAUCAGCUUGUUGGUGGGGUAAUGGCCUACCAAGGCGUCGACGGGUAGCCGGCCUGAGAGGGUGUACGGCCACAUUGGGACUGAGAUACGGCCCAGACUCCUACGGGAGGCAGCAGUGGGGAAUAUUGCACAAUGGGCGCAAGCCUGAUGCAGCGACGCCGCGUGGGGGAUGACGGCCUUCGGGUUGUAAACUCCUUUCGCUAGGGACGAAGCGCAAGUGACGGUACCUGGAGAAGAAGCACCGGCUAACUACGUG